ensembl:lncRNA
AUGUCACCUUCGAGCAAACGCCAAGGCCACGAAGUUAAACUCAACCAUCCACACAACCGUAGAGGUUUAGUAUCAAGGAUCAGUGGUGGAGGACAUGGUGGUGAUUUGCUUGUUGAAGUCAAUGUUGAGGUCUCGUUGCUCUGAGGACUUCAGUGAAUACACAGCACCUCCUGAACUGACUGAAGAGAGUCCAGAAGAUCUGCUGUGCAGCUUACACUUCAUUUAUAAGUAAUUCAUGACCACAGAAAAAUUCAAAAAAUUAAUAAUGUUGAUUAAAUGUAAGUUUUUUAGUUGUGUGAAAUAGUUAUUUUACCUGUAAUUGUUUUCUAUUCCAUUUUAUUAUAUAAUUUAUUAUUUAAUUUCUUUACAGAUAUAUAUAUAUAUAUAUAUAUAUAUAUAUAUAUAUAUAUAUAUAUAUAUAUAUAAUAUAUAUAUUGUUUAUUAAUAUCGAUAAUAUAGAUUUUUUUUUAAUCUAACAUUAUCUACAAUUUCUCCUGUUGUUAUUCAAUCUAAAGUGAUUUAUUCAGUUUCAUAAAGUGAAUUUCACACAGACAUUACAUUGAGACAUUUCCUUGGUUCCUCAUGAUUUUGUUUUUGUAACUUGAUAAUUUAUUUGUUGCUGAUUAUUUAAUAGUAAUAAAGUAUACAUAUAUUGUUUUAAACCAUUGAAAGUGUGUUUGUGUGCAGUGGACUUAUUGGCAAUUGAACUCUUUGAACACCAUCUGCGUUCUGCGUCUCUGAGCCACAGAAAACAACCUUUAAGUCUGAUGUGUUUAUCACCUCCCUACCAUGAACACUGAUGUUCAGUGCUACUCUAAUCUUAAUCACAAGAAUAACAAGAAUACUUAACAUAAAUAAUAAGAUCAAACAAAUCAAUUUCAAUUUAAACACUGAAUUAAACAUACUAGUCGUUAACUAAAAAUAAAAUUUUCUCUUUUUCCAGCCCCUUGUCAUCUUUUGUUAUAAACAUAUUUAAUUGUAAUAUCUUAUUACAAAAACAUUAUAAUUGUUUCUAAAUGUCUUAAUACAGUAAUAUUUCAUACCAAUAACUAAUGUUUAAUAAAAAAAUAUCAAUAAAAGAAAGCGCUGGUGACAACUGCUGGUCAAAAAUAGGAAUGUGCCAUUUAACAGCCUAAACUAGGGUACUGAUAAUAACGAGCAAAUUUCCAGCUUUAAUGGCUUUUUUAUGUAUAUAAUUACCUAAUUAAAUAUUUUGUCCUUUCUGUCAAAUAGUUCAAUUUAAUCAAACCUAUUUAUUUUUAACACAAAUAAUAAAAUAAAAAACGUAUGCGUGCACAAGUCAAUAACUGCUCUUGGAUUAGAUAAUUGCUUGUUUCUCAUUAGAGAAUCAAGACACUUGUAUUUUCGUAACAUGAAAAGCUAAACAUCUUACGUCGUAUCUAAUCUUCUUAGUGAAAUAAUUCAGUUUUCAGUGCUUACUGAGCACAUGUCGUGAAUACAGGAUAAACUCCCACGGUUUCAAGAGAUUUUGGGUGACAUCAAAGUACCGCGAGAUCGAGCGAUUCAAAAACACAAGCGCUAUCUGCUCUCUUACAGCUCUCGCGGUACUUUGUACUGCUGUUUGGUUCUUAAAGGAAUCGUUCUUAUGAACCGCUUCACAAAAUGAACUGAAUCGAACUGUAGUUCUGGGUUGAUGACGCAAGACGCACAGAAGUAGCCCAACUCAGAAAGAACCAAAUAAGCCUGACAUUUUAUUCUACUGUCAGAUUUUCCCAAAAAGGUUUUAUCAAUAUUGUGUCCUUUUCUCAUAUUGAACAACAUUUAAUGCAUCUGCAUUACUGUAAGGGUAGGUUUAGGGGUAGACUUUAAUAAAAACACAAUCUAAUAGGUAGAAAAUAAUAUUUAUUGUUGAUUUCCUGUAGCUGUAUCCCAUCUAGCUAUAACCGCGAAUAUAACACAUAAUUACUGUAUUUGCAGUACUGUAAGGGUAGGUUUAGGGUUGUGGUAGGGGUAGACGUGAAUAAACCAUAACUUCACCGAUUGCAUUUUUCGUUGUCUAAUUGUACUACCCACUGUUUUAAUGUGAGGUAGCAAAAUCUGACGGGGUAGGACAAAGACACCGGCUCAUCCAACUGUAUAGUACAAUACAUAUGAUUAUUGUGAUUGCUGUUAUAAAUUAAACAUUUUAUUAAAACCUGCAAAAACUUUUCCGACCAGGGGUAUACAUAUUUUACAAGUUUUUUAUUUUAAUUUUUUUUAUAAGUUGUACAAGCAAAAUACAGAGUUUAUCAGGUUAGAUUAUAGUUUAGACACGUAGGAUCUGCA